CGUUUCAGGCCACCACGUCUUUGAAUGAGGUGAAGCUGAUCGUCAAGGAUGGACUGAUGAAGGUUGAAGUCAAAAACCGCAGAUUACAGAGGACAUUUGAUGGUAACAUCGGGAAAAGCCAGUGUGCACUGCAGGUCGGGUACGGUGAUGGCAUGGAUUUCUUCCACGGCGUCCUGGAAGAAUUCAAAGUAUACUUCUGCGAUCCAGAGAGCCUGUAGUUGAACACAGUGUUUCAUCAAGACCUACCACGAAGUCAAAUGCCGUUUUUAAUAUCAACUCGCAGUAUUAAACAGUAUGGCGCA